rnacentral:sRNA from 12 species
GACCCCGCCUCACGGCGAAAAAUAAACUAAAAACGGAGGUGUCAGUAGACCGGGUACAUAAUCCGGGCCGACCGCAACGACGUUCAAGAAAAAGCAGACAA